GGCAGAAAGAGAGAGAGAAGGACUUGGGAGGUGCCACUACGCCUCAGGCGAGAGGACCAAGUCGAGUGCUGGGAUUUUCAUGGCACACUCAGCCUGUGCAGAAUCCGACCCCACACCAGAGGAUACCAGACUUGCUAAGUUUCACCAGCAAUUUCCGUUUUGGAACUCAACAAUUAUGAGACAAGACAAAGAAUAAGAAAAAGACAUGGAUGCUGCCAGACCUGCUGACCCUCUUAAGGAUAUCCGAUUUCUGACCAACUGAAACCAUUUCAAAACCAGUCC